GUUUUAAACUAACGCGAUAACUUUUACUGUUUCUUUAUUUAGUAAGAACCACCACCAGAAUAACAUGUUUAGAAAAAUUACUUGAGUUAUAUGCCAAGGUAUUAAAUAUACGUACAAUUCCUCUUAAAGGUAAUUUACAGUAUGCGCUUUAGAUAAUUAAAUCGUCUGCCUAUUCAAAAAAUUUUGGACAUUCAGGAUUUAAAUAAAAAAAUA